rnacentral:rRNA from 1 species
UACAGAGGGUGCAAGCGUUAAUCGGAAUUACUGGGCGUAAAGGGCGCGUAGGCGGUUUUAUAAGUUGGAUGUAAAAUUCCUGGGCUUAACCCGGGGUAUGCAUACAAAACUGUAUGACUAGAGUAGAGUAGAGGAAAGUAGAAUUCCCGGUGUAGCGGUGAAAUGCGUAGAUAUCGGGAAGAAUACCAGUGGCGAAGGCGGCUUUCUGGGCUCAUACUGACGCUGAGGCGCGAAAGCAUGGGGAGCAAACAGG